rnacentral:tRNA from 1 species
GGAGAGAUGUCUGAGUGGCUUAAAGAACCGGUCUUGAAAACCGGAGUCCCUUUGCGGGGACCGUGGGUUCGAAUCCCACUCUCUCCUCCA